ACUGGAAUGAACGGCUAAAUGAGGACUAAACUGUCUCUUGCGAGCUAGUCAAUGAAAUUGAUUUUCCAGUACAAAAGCUGGAAUAGACCCAUAAGACGAAAAGACCCUGUGGAGCUUAAAAACCAGAUUCAUUAAGAAUGUUUCCUCGGAUUUUCAGUUGGGGCGACUUCGGAGUACAGAAAAACCUCCGAAAAAUAUAAACUUGUAUUAAGAUCAACACACCAAAAAUAACACAUAGACCCAGCAAUUUUUAUAAAUAUGUCUGACCAAUGAACCAAGUUACCCCAGGGAUAACAGCGCCAUCCCCUUUUAGAGUCCCUAUCGACAAGGGGGUUUACGACCUCGAUGUUGGAUCAGGACACCCCAAUGGUGCAGCCGCCAUUAAAG
rnacentral:rRNA from 1 species